AGACCUUCAGAUCAACAUCCUUACAAAUCCUGACUGCUUGUCAAAAACACAAUUUGAAAUUACUGGAUUGCCAGAGAGAAGAAACCAGGUGAGAAUCCAGUUUUACAGAACAGCAUCCAGCCAUCCUCACACUUGAAAGGUGCCAGCUGGCCAUUAUUGCUACAGAGGUGUUACAGACAAAUGCAUCUCUAUAGAUGUAGACAGCAUUCGUGUUACAUCCUGAUAGGAAAAGAUUCUCAUAGACUGGUGUGUGAUCACAUAGUUAAUGCUUCUGUGUUGCUGAGGUAAGGUGCAAAGAUAACUGUGAAUCUAACUUCCCUCAAAUGUUAAACUUGCAGUUUAAAAAAGCUUGUAUCUUGCUGCUACUUGCAUCUCUCUUCCUCAGUUUAUAACAAAGAGAACUAAAUUUUGCAAAGAAAUCAUGUCUAAUCUGCUCAAAUGGUUUAACAGCAGAACUGGAAAGUGUAUUUACUGCACAGACAUGUUGAUGCUUGUAUCAGUAAAACUGUUAUAUAUUUCACUUAAGUUGAAAAUUAAUUAAUAUUUGUAACCUAAUGUUUCCUAACAUGGGGGUUUUAGUCAAAGCCUAUCUCAAGUAUCUCGUAUUUAGUCAAGCAAAUUCCUUACUUUAAAUAAUACUUGUUUCUACUUUUCUCAUUUCAGUAGGAAAAAAAUUAUCCCCUAGUCUUUUUCUUCGUUCUUGCUCUCACUGUUCCUUACUCUUGUGUUUUUUUUUUUUUUUUUUGCAGGCUCUCUUGUACUGCUUGCUUCUGUCCCUGUCUGAACAUCUGCUUCUUUGCACUAUGACUCCUGCCUCAGUUCUUCCCCCUCUAGGCACAUUAUCGCUGAUAGAAUUUGAUGUUAAAGUAUGA
rnacentral:lncRNA from 1 species